AAAUAUACUUUUUCCAGCAAGUCUGGCAGUUUCUGUAAGCUGAAGAAAAUGUUUGCUGCACUGUCAGUUGUGUAGCGUAAUUCAUAGGCCUCUCUGUCAGCAGCCAGUUUUCCUUGCAAGUGCAGCAGAGGAAUGGAGCAUGACUUCUCCUACCCCUCUCUUAGGACCCCUCAGUGAGAAUGUGUGGUGCUCAUGAAGGCAUCCAUACUGCCAAGGAGGGUCUCAGAGCACUUUCAGAGGAGCCAGUUGACUGAAUGCCACUUAAGCUGUUGAAGAAUGGGCUGGGCAAGCAGUGAGAUGAAUCAAAAACUGGCUGAAAGGCUUGGCCAGAGAACAGAGGUUCUGGAUUUUUCAUCUAUGUGCCAGCUGCUUUCUUCUCCCUCCUCCCACUCUGUAGCACUUUAAAGCAUCAUUAACAUGGAAGAUUUUGAGGACAAAAAGACUAACUUUAUGAAUCGUCUUGUCAAAUAAGGUAAAAAUGAAAGAUUUUAUAUUCUAUGAUUAGCCAAAAAUUAAGAUUUACUCUUUUAGAAUUGAGAUUUUUCAUGUUUAAUAUAAGUUUUUCCUUGGUCAAAGUUUUCCAAACAUAGCAUGAAAGUAGUAAAGAAUAUAGAAACAGAAAGAAAGCAACUCACUGCACACUCCUAUGUAUCCCUUGC